rnacentral:rRNA from 1 species
GAUCCUGGCUCAGGAUGAACGCUAGCUACAGGCUUAACACAUGCAAGUCGAGGGGCAGCAUGGUCUUAGCUUGCUAAGGCUGAUGGCGACCGGCGCACGGGUGAGUAACACGUAUCCAACCUGCCGUCUACUCUUGGGCCAGCCUUCUGAAAGGAAGAUUAAUCCAGGAUGGGAUCAUGAGUUCACAUGUCCGCAUGAUUAAAGGUAUUUUCCGGUAGACGAUGGGGAUGCG